UUAUCUGAGAGUUUGAUCCUGGCUCAGGAUGAACGCUGGCGGCGUGCCUUAAGCAUGCAAGUCAAGGGGGCGCAGUAAUGCGCAACCGGCGGACGGGUGAGGAAUACGUGGGAAUCUACCUUAAAGUAUAGGAUAGCCAGCCGAAAGGUUGGGUAAUACUGUAUGUGAUCGCAAGAUUAAAGAUUUAUCGCUUUAAGAUGAGCCUGCGUCCUAUCAGCUUGUUGGUGGGGUAAUGGCCUACCAAGGCAACGACGGGUAGCUGGUCUGAGAGGAUGGUCAGCCACAAUAGGACUGAGACACGGCCUAUACAUCUACGGAUGGCAGCAACUGGGAAUCUUCGGCAAUGGGCGAAAGCCUGACCGAGCGACGCCGCGUGGAGGAUUGAAGGCCUUCGGGUUGUAAACUCCUUUUGCAUUUGCAAGGGAAGAUUAUGACGGUACCUUGCGAAUAAGCACCUGCUAACUACGUGCCAGAAGCCUCGGUAAUACGUAGGGUGCAAGCGUUAUCCGGAUUCAUUGGGCGUAAAGUGUUGCGUAGGCGGUUUACUGCAUCUUGUUUGAAAGGCUAUGGCCUAACCAUAGUUUCGGGCAAGAAAUGAGUAAACUUGAUGGUUUAAGAGGGUACUGGAACAGAUCGUGUAGCAGUGAAAUGCGUUGAUAUGAUCUGGAACACCAAAGGCGUAGGCAGGUACCUGGGAAACCCAUGACGCUGAGGCACGAAAGCUUGGGGAGCGAAGCAGAUUAGAGACCUGCGUAGUCCAAGCCGUAAACGAUGGAUGCUAGUUACCCGAUUUUUUUGGGUGACGCAAGGUAACCCGUUAAGCAUCCCGCCUGGGGAGUACGAUCGCAAGAUUAAAACUCAAAGGAAUUGACGGGGAGGCGCACAAGCAGUGGAGCGUGUUGUUUAAUUCGAUACAAAGCGAAAAACCUCACCAGGGUUUGACAUGUAGAUGCUAAGCCUAUGAAAGUAGGCCUCCUUCGAGGGUUCUACACAGAUGCUUCA
rnacentral:ncRNA from 1 species